UACAGAGGGUGCAAGCGUUGUUCGGAAUUAUUGGGCGUAAAGCGCGUGUAGGCGGCUUUGCAAGUCGGGUGUGAAAUCCCUCAGCUUAACUGAGGAAGUGCGCCCGAAACUGCCGAGCUUGAAUACCGGAGAGGAUGGCGGAAUUCCCCAAGUAGAGGUGAAAUUCGUAGAUAUCGGGAGGAACACCGGUGGCGAAGGCGGCGACCUGGGUCGAGACUGACGCUGAGGCGCGAAAGCGUGGGGAGCAAACAGG
rnacentral:rRNA from 1 species